CACGUAGGGCGCGAGCGUUGUCCGGAAUUAUUGGGCGUAAAGAGCUCGUAGGUGGUUUGCUACGUCUGCUGUGAAAACCCGAGGCUUAACCUCGGGCUUGCAGUGGAUACGGGCAGACUAGAGGUAGGUAGGGGAGAAUGGAAUUCCCGGUGUAGCGGUGAAAUGCGCAGAUAUCGGGAGGAACACCGGUGGCGAAGGCGGUUCUCUGGGCCUUACCUGACACUGAGGAGCGAAAGCGUGGGGAGCGAACAGG
rnacentral:rRNA from 1 species